UUUCCGUAGUGAAACCUGCGGAAGGAUCAUUACCGAGUGUAGGGUUCCUAGCGAGCCCAACCUCCCACCCGUGUUUACUGUACCUUAGUUGCUUCGGCGGGCCCGCCAUUCAUGGCCGCCGGGGGCUCUCAGCCCCGGGCCCGCGCCCGCCGGAGACACCACGAACUCUGUCUGAUCUAGUGAAGUCUGAGUUGAUUGUAUCGCAAUCAGUUAAAACUUUCAACAAUGGAUCUCUUGGUUCCGGCAUCGAUGAAGAACGCAGCGAAAUGCGAUAACUAGUGUGAAUUGCAGAAUUCCGUGAAUCAUCGAGUCUUUGAACGCACAUUGCGCCCCCUGGUAUUCCGGGGGGCAUGCCUGUCCGAGCGUCAUUGCUGCCCAUCAAGCACGGCUUGUGUGUUGGGUCGUCGUCCCCUCUCCGGGGGGGACGGGCCCCAAAGGCAGCGGCGGCACCGCGUCCGAUCCUCGAGCGUAUGGGGCUUUGUCACCCGCUCUGUAGGCCCGGCCGGCGCUUGCCGAACGCAAAUCAAUCUUUUUCCAGGUUGACCUCGGAUCAGUAGGAUACCCG
rnacentral:rRNA from 1 species